UGUAUCUUCUCUUUUCUUUUCUUUUUUUUUUUUUUAAGAUUUAUUUAUUUAUUUAUUUGACAGAGAGAGAUCACAAGUAGGCAGAGAGGCAGGCAGAGAGAGAGAGGAGGAAGCAGGCUCCCUGCCGAGCAGAGAUCCCGAUGCGGGACUCGAUCCCAGGACCCUGAGAUCAUGACCUGAGCCGAAGGCAGCGGCUUAACCCACUGAGCCACCCAGGCGCCCUGUAUCUUCUCUUUUCAUCUCAAAUCAAACACUCUCAGUGAGGAAGUUGACAUCACAUGAAUACGUGUGACAUCAUUCCGUAUCUGCUUCCUUACCUUUGCCAUCCACUCAGGAGAAUCAGUAGCCGGAAUAAUUCAGGAAAGGCAACUGUUGCACGUGUUCUUAAAGUGGUGCUUUCACUUCAGAAAGCUGAGCUCACAAAGAACAUCAAUGAAUUAAAUUUGAGAAAGUAAUGAACUCUUCUAGGAGUAAAGACACCUGCAAUUGCUUUC
rnacentral:lncRNA from 1 species